rnacentral:rRNA from 1 species
UACGGAGGGAGCUAGCGUUGUUCGGAAUUACUGGGCGUAAAGCGUGCGUAGACGGUUAUUUAAGUCAGGUGUGAAAGCCCAGGGCUCAACCUUGGAAUUGCAUUUGAGACUGAAUAGCUAGGGUGCGGAAGAGGGAAGCGGAAUUUCCGGUGUAGCGGUGAAAUGCGUAGAUAUCGGAAGGAACACCAGUGGCGAAAGCGGCUUCCUGGUCCAGCACCGACGUUCAGGCACGAAAGCGUGGGGAGCAAACAGG